AAGCUCGUAGUUGAAUUUCGGGAUCAAAUUGUCGGUCGUGCCUCGGUACGUACUGGCGUUAUUGGUUACUCCCUUCUGAAGAACCACGAUGUCAUUAAUUUGGUGUCGCGGGGAAUCAGGACUGUUACUUUGAAAAAAUUAGAGUGUUUAAAGCAGGCUCGCGCUUGAAUACAUUAGCAUGGAAUAAUGAAAUAGGACGUUUGAUUCUAUUUUGUUGGUUUCUAGGAUCGACGUAAUGAUUAAUAGGGAUAGUUGGGGGCAUUAGUAUUCAAUUGUCAGAGGUGAAAUUCUUGGAUUUAUUGAAGACUAACUACUGCGAAAGCAUUUGCCAAGGAUGUUUUCAUUAAUCAAGAACGAAAGUUAGGGGAUCGAAGACGAUCAGAUACCGUCGUAGUCUUAACCAUAAACUAUGCCGACUAGGGAUCGGAUGAUGUUAAUUUUUUAAUGACUCAUUCGGCGCCUUACGGGAAACCAAAGUGUUUGGGUUCCGGGGGGAGUAUGGUCGCAAGGCUGAAACUUAAAGGAAUUGACGGAAGGGCACCACCAGGGGUGGAGCCUGCGGCUUAAUUUGACUCAACACGGGGAAACUCACCAGGUCCAGACAUAGUAAGGAUUGACAGAUUGAGAGCUCUUUCUUGAUUCUAUGGGUG
rnacentral:rRNA from 1 species